rnacentral:lncRNA from 1 species
GUUUUUUCCUCAUCUCUUGGAGCAGCUCCCACUCCUCUCUGAUUCAUGCCAGCUCCCUUCAAAGCUAAAUAUUACACAGGAUCUGUCUCUUGACAAUUGACCCCAACUAGGGACAUGCCUGGGUACUCACCCUGGAGGCAAGAAGUGGAGCCAGAGAAAGGCAGAACCCAGGGAAAAAUGAAACUGAAGAUGAAAGGAAACCUCCCAAUGGAAAAAUGAGUUGAAGAGUGGGACUUCAUUCCUGGAAUACGAGAUGGAGCUGGAUGGUUAAUGCCAAACAGGAUUCAGGAUGUGUCCAGGGAAAAUAUUUCAAUGAUUCUAUUUCAGCCUUUGAUGAAGCAAAAGAAAACUAAAGAAUAAAACUAGAAUAUGCUAAGUUAA